rnacentral:rRNA from 1 species
CCCUUUGGUUCGGAAUAACAAGAGGAAACUUUUGCUAAUACCGGAUAAGUCUUUACGGAGAAAGCUUUAUGCGCCAUUGGAUGAGCCUGCACUUGAUUAGUUAGUUGGUGGGGUAAAGGCCUACCAAGACAAUGAUCAAUAGCUGAUUUGAGAGGAUGAUCAGCCACAUUGGGACUGAGACACGGCCCAAACUCCUACGGGAGGCAGCAGUAGGGAAUCUUGCACAAUGGGGGAAACCCUGAUGCAGCGAUGCCGCGUGAGUGAAGAAGGCCUUUGGGUUGUAAAGCUCUUUCGUCGGGGAAGAAAAUGACUGUACCCGAAUAAGAAGGUCCGGCUAACUUCGUGCCAGCAGCCGCGGUAAUACGAAGGGACCUAGCGUAGUUCGGAAUUACUGGGCUUAAAGAGUUCGUAGGUGGUUAAAAAAGUUGGUGGUGAAAUCCCAGAGCUUAACUCUGGAACUGCCAUCAAAACUUUUUAGCUAGAGUAUGAUAGAGGAAAGCAGAAUUUCUAGUGUAGAGGUGAAAUUCGUAGAUAUUAGAAAGAAUACCGAUUGCGAAGGCAGCUUUCUGGAUCAUUACUGACACUGAGGAACGAAAGCAUGGGUAGCGAAGAGGAUUAGAUACCCUCGUAGUCCAUGCCGUAAACGAUGUGUGUUAGACGUUGGAAAUUUAUUUUUCAGU